CAGUCGCCGCGGUAAUACGAAGGGGGCUAGCGUUGCUCGGAAUCACUGGGCGUAAAGGGUGCGUAGGCGGGUCUUAAAGUCAGGGGUGAAAUCCUGGAGCUCAACUCCAGAACUGCCUUUGAUACUGAAGAUCUUGAGUUCGAGAGAGGUGAGUGGAACUGCGAGUGUAGAGGUGAAAUUCGUAGAUAUUCGCAAGAACACCAGUGGCGAAGGCGGCUCACUGGCCCGAUACUGACGCAGAGGCACGAAAGCGUGGGGAGCAAACAGGAUUAGAUACCCGUGUAGUCCCUGUCUCUUAUAA
rnacentral:rRNA from 1 species